CCAAUAGCGUAUAUUAAAGUUGUUGCAGUUAAAAAGCUCGUAGUUGAAUUUCGGGGUUAGUAGGUUGGUCAUGCCUCUGGUAUGUACUGGUCUCACUGAUUCCUCCUUCCUGAUGAGCCGUAAUGCCAUUAAUUUGGUGUUGCGGGGAAUUUGGACUGUUACUUUGAAAAACUUAGAGUGUUUAAAGCAAGCUAACGCUUGAAUACAUUAGCCUGGAAUCAUGAAAUAGGACGUUCGAUCCUAUUUUGUUGGUUUCUAGGAUUGACGUAAUGAUUAAUAGGGAUAGUUGGGGGCAUUAGUAUUCAAUUGUCAGAGGUGAAAUUCUUGGAUUUAUUGAAGACUAACUACUGCGAAAGCAUUUGCCAAGGAUGUUUUCAUUAAUCAAGAACGAAAGUUAGGGGAUCGAAGACGAUCAGAUACCGUCGUAGUCUUAACCAUAAACUAUGCCGACUAGGGAUCGGAUGAUGUUAACUUUUUAAUGACUCAUUCGGCGCCUUACG
rnacentral:rRNA from 1 species